UACAGAGGGUGCGAGCGUUAAUCGGAUUUACUGGGCGUAAAGGGCGCGUAGGUGGUAAAGCAAGUAAGAUGUGAAAGCCCUGGGCUUAACCUGGGAAGUGCAUCUUAAACUGCUUAACUAGAGUAUGGUAGAGGGUAGUGGAAUUUCCGGUGUAGCGGUGAAAUGCGUAGAGAUCGGAAGGAACGCCAGUGGUGAAGACGACUACCUGGACCAAUACUGACACUGAGGCACGAAGGCCAGGGGAGCAAACGGG
rnacentral:rRNA from 1 species